rnacentral:rRNA from 1 species
CUACGUGCCAGCAGCCGCGGUAAUACGUAGGGUGCGAGCGUUGUCCGGAAUUAUUGGGCGUAAAGGGCUCGUAGGCGGUUUGUCACGUCGGGAGUGAAAACUCAGGGCUUAACCCUGAGCCUGCUUCCGAUACGGGCAGACUAGAGGUAUGCAGGGGAGAACGGAAUUCCUGGUGUAGCGGUGAAAUGCGCAGAUAUCAGGAGGAACACCGGUGGCGAAGGCGGUUCUCUGGGCAUUACCUGACGCUGAGGAGCGAAAGUGUGGGGAGCGAACAGGAUUAGAUACCCUGGUAGUCCACACCGUAAACGUUGGGCGCUAGGUGUGGGACUCAUUCCACGAGUUCCGUGCCGCAGCUAACGCAUUAGGCGCCCCGCCUGGGGAGUACGGCCGCAAGGCUAAAACUCAAAGGAAUUGACGGAAUCGAA